UAGUUUUCGGGCACCGAAUGAGCUGAGGGGCGGCUUCUGUUCAGGAAAAAUCGCGGGGCUGAUUUUGUGUUUUUGUUAGAGCACGUAGGUUUUGUGAGAGAAACGAUGGAGUCCGCAGUGCUGUGGAAGCCGUCUGGACGUGUUUCCAUGGCAACGAUGACGUUGUUUGCAGGUGUUGUUGUUCUGCUGAUCCUGCUCCAGUCAGCUGAAGCAGAGCCUCCCGAGCGGUCCCUCCUGGCCGUGAAGGAAGACUCUGAGAAAGGACCUGGAGGGGUUGAAGACACUAAAGGUGAGGAU